rnacentral:rRNA from 1 species
CCUGAACGCUGGCGGCGUGGCUAAGACAUGCAAGUCGAACGGAUGUAGCAAUACAUCAGUGGCGGACGGGUGAGUAAUGUAUCGCUAAUGUGCCCUAGAGCCUGGGAUAGCCAUCCGAAAGGUGGUAAUACCAGAUGAAAUAACUUUGUCGCAUGGCAGAGUUCUCAAAGCAGCAAUGCACUCCUGGAGCAGGCGAUACGUAUCAGCUAGUUGGUGAGGUAACGGCUCACCAAGGCGACGACGCGUAGCC